AAAGUACUCCCUCCAUCCCAAAAUUCUUGUCUUAGAUUUGUCUAGAUACAGAUGUAUCAAGUCACAUUUACUAUUAGAUACAUGCGUAUCUAGACAAAUCUAAGACAAGAAAUUUGGGACAGAGGGAGUAGUUG
rfam:Triticum aestivum genome assembly, contig: Triticum_aestivum_CS42_TGACv1_scaffold_112065_2AS